UACGUAGGGACCGAGCGUUGUCCGGAUUCAUUGGGCGUAAAGAGCUCGUAGGCGGCUAUUCAAGUCGAACGUGAAAUCUCGGAGCUCAACUCCGAAACUGCGUUCGAUACUGGGUAGCUAGAGUCUGGUAGGGGGAUCUGGAAUUCCUGGUGUAGCGGUGGAAUGCGCAGAUAUCAGGAGGAACACCGGUGGCGAAGGCGGCCUUCUGGACAGUGACUGACGCUGAGACGCGAAAGCUAGGGGAGCAAACGGG
rnacentral:rRNA from 1 species